ACCCCACCGAGAACAGCGACAGCCUGGCAGCCUGGGAAAAUGCAAUGUCUAUACCAACUCUGUUCUUCUCUUAGACUCCUGCUGUCCACCAGAGGAGGGAGAGCAGGGGACAUGAACCGUGGAGAGAAGACAGCCAGGCUUGUGGAGGACGGUUCCCCCCUGUCAGAGGUCUCGCUCUCUACUGGCUUUGCCCCAGGAAGGCCGCCAGGGAUAGGCAAGGGCAGACUGGGCCCUCCAGGGACCAAAGAUGGAACGAGAAGCGAGGUAGGGCCCAGCGGGGGAGGCCAAGUGGCUGGGGCCCCUUGGCCGGCUGGGAGCUGCAGGACAGCGGGGCCAGCAUGAGGUCAGGGCUCCCAGAGCAACAAGGACCCUGUGGGAUCACUGGCUGCCCGAGGGACAUGGGGGCAGGAGAUGUCUGCCCAGAACGGCCAGCCCUCCUUGACUUCACGAGAAUCAGAACACUGGCUCCUAAUACAAAAAUCUCUAACUUAAAAAAAGCUUUGGUGACACUUCAAUUAAAAGUCUGCUUAAGAGGUUCUCUAUUUUAA